UAGCGCCUCGUGAAUUCAUCUCCGGGGGUAGAGCACUGUUUCGGCAAGGGGGUCAUCCCGACUUACCAACCCGAUGCAAACUGCGAAUACCGGAGAAUGUUAUCACGGGAGACACACGGCGGGUGCUAACGUCCGUCGUGAAGAGGGAAACAACCCAGACCGCCAGCUAAGGUCCCAAAGUCAUGGUUAAGUGGGAAACGAUGUGGGAAGGCCCAGACAGCCAGGAUGUUGGCUUAGAAGCAGCCAUCAUUUAAAGAAAGCGUAAUAGCUCACUGGUCGAGUCGGCCUGCGCGGAAGAUGUAACGGGGCUAAACCAUGCACCGAAGCUGCGGCAGCGACACUAUGUGUUGUUGGGUAGGGGAGCG
rnacentral:rRNA from 1 species